rnacentral:tRNA from 1 species
GGAGAGGUGGCUGAGUGGUUGAAAGCGGCAGGUUGCUAACCUGUUAUAGGAGUGUAAACUCCUAUCCGGGGUUCGAAUCCCCGCCUCUCCGCUA